rnacentral:sRNA from 1 species
UCCUAGCCCAGAUGAAAGCGGCAUCCUUUUGUGGCGGGGUUCGCCAUAAAAGAUAUAGCGGACAGCUGGAUUAGCU